rnacentral:rRNA from 1 species
GACGAACGCUGGCGGCGUGCUUAACACAUGCAAGUCGAACGGUGAAGCCCUUCGGGGUGGAUCAGUGGCGAACGGGUGAGUAACACGUGAGCAACCUGCCCCUGGCUCUGGGACAACCACUGGAAACGGUGGCUAAUACCGGAUACGACCCGCCUCGGCAUCGAGUGUGGGUGGAAAGUUUUUCGGCUGGGGAUGGGCUCGCGGCCUAUCAGCUUGUUGGUGAGGUGAAGGCGCACCAAGGCGACGACGGGUAGCCGGCCUGAGAGGGCGACCGGCCACACUGGGACUGAGACACGGCCCAGACUCCUACGGGAGGCAGCAGUGGGGAAUAUUGCACAAUGGGCGAAAGCCUGAUGCAGCGACGCCGCGUGAGGGAUGACGGCCUUCGGGUUGUAAACCUCUUUCAGCUCCGAAGAAGCGAAAGUGACGGUAGGAGCAGAAGAAGCACCGGCUAACUACGUG